AUGGCUCAGGAUGAACGCUAGCUACAGGCUUAACACAUGCAAGUCGAGGGGCAUCAUGGAGUUUGCUUGCAAACUCUGAUGGCGACCGGCGCACGGGUGAGUAACGCGUAUCCAACCUUCCCUAUAGUAGAGGAUAGCCCGGCGAAAGUCGGAUUAAUACUCUAUGUUUUCCGUUGCAGACAUCUAAGAUGGAACAAAGGCUUGCCGCUAUAGGAUGGGGGAUGCGUCUGAUUAGGUAGUCGGCGGGGUAACGGCCCACCGAGCCAUCGAUCAGUAGGGGUUCUGAGAGGAAGGUCCCCCACAUUGGAACUGAGACACGGUCCAAACUCCUACGGGAGGCAGCAGUGAGGAAUAUUGGUCAAUGGGCGAGAGCCUGAACCAGCCAAGUAGCGUGCAGGACGACGGCCCUAUGGGUUGUAAACUGCUUUUAUGCGGGGAUAAAGUUCACUACGUGUAGUGUUUUGUAGGUACCGCAUGAAUAAGGACCGGCUAAUUCCGUGCCAGCCGCCGC
rnacentral:rRNA from 1 species